rnacentral:sRNA from 1 species
GCCUGGUGCGGUGGCGCACUCCUGUAAUCCCAGCGACUUGGGAGGCUGAGGCAGGAGGAUCACGGGUUUAAAGCCAGCCUCAGCAAUUUAGCGAGGCCCUAAGCAGCUUAGAAAGAUCCUGUCUCAA